rnacentral:RNase_P_RNA from 1 species
GAGGCAGUCCGUUCUAUCGAUUCGUAAAAGCGAAUAGGAAAGUCCGGGCAACACAGGGUACCGCACUUCCUAACAGGAAGGCGCUUCGGACUUCGGUUUGGGGCGACAGACAGUGUCACAGAAAACUAUACCGCCACCUUAGGGUGGUAAGGGUGAAAAAGUGGGGUAAGAGCCCACUCGUUCAGCAGCGAUGUUGAAUUGGGACAAACCUUGCGGGUUGAAAGGUCAAAUAAACCUGGAUUAAAGGGCGACCCGCUUUAUUGCGCAAGCGAGCCAGGAGGGUAGACCGAUGGAGGUGCAGCGUGAGUUGCAUCCUAGAUCAAUGAUAGAAGCUCCACGAAAGGGGAGAACAGAACCCGGCUUACAGGACUGCCUUUUUU